AUUGAACGCUGGCGGCAGGCCUAACACAUGCAAGUCGAACGGUAACAGGAAGCAGCUUGCUGCUUCGCUGACGAGUGGCGGACGGGUGAGUAAUGUCUGGGAAACUGCCUGAUGGAGGGGGAUAACUACUGGAAACGGUAGCUAAUACCGCAUAACGUCGCAAGACCAAAGAGGGGGACCUUAGGGCCUCUUGCCAUCGGCUGUGCCCAGAUGGGAUUAGCUAGUAGGUAGGGUAACGGCUCACCUAGGCGACGAUCCCUAGCUGGUCUGAGAGGAUGACCAGCCACACUGGAACUGAGACACGGUCCAGACUCCUACGGGAGGCAGCAGUGGGGAAUAUUGCACAAUGGGCGCAAGCCUGAUGCAGCCAUGCCGCGUGUAUGAAGAAGGCCUUCGGGUUGUAAAGUACUUUCAGCGGGGAGGAAGGGAGUAAAGUUAAUACCUUUGCUCAUUGACGUUACCCGCAGAAGAAGCACCGGCUAACUCCGUG
rnacentral:rRNA from 1 species